GGGAGGGGGGUGUAUUUGGGUGGCACUUGCAUCUAAACACUUUUAGAGUUUCAGUAAGGUAGUCCUCAAACAGUAACAAGGGGAGCUUUCAAUGUAGGGGUGGGGGAGUUGGAGAGACAUGUGAAGAGCAAAGUGGGGGUUAAAAGGCUUGUAGAGCUGGGAGUUGAAAAGCUAUGCAGGGCCUGGGGAUUAAAUAGCUAAAGUGCAUGGAGUGUACAAUUCUACAAAACAUUAUCAGACUAGCUUGGACAAUUCCUUUAUAUUCAUAUACAUAUUUUAUACUUAUAGCAAAGUUACUUCAUGUGACAUCGGAAUGGUCUAAAGUGAUCACCAAGAGAUUAGUAAAAUAUAUUUGAAUAUACCAAAGUUCCCAAUAACACUUCAGAAAUUUCAAGUAUAUGUACAAAGAUAUUAAAAUGAAAGUUAAAUGCAAUAAAAAUUAUCAACUAUGAUCAUGCUUCCCCACCAAAAUUCAGUUCCUAUGUACAGUAUCUACCUUAUGGAAUAUAUAUUGUUAUUGGAUGUUCGUUUCUUCAGUUCUGAUGUAAUCGCUCUGGUUCUGAAAAUAAUUUCAAGCCAUUUCUCCCGAGUUUCCUUUUUUAUUGACGACUUAUAUUCACUUUCGUGCGCGCUCAUGACUGGUAUUCUAAACAAUGAAAUUUGGUGCUUUUGGCUUGUUGAACAACCAAAAAAGCACAAUUACGGCCAGGCAUAGCUUUAAUACUUCAUAGCUAGCUAACGAAAUUCCCAACAGAUGGCCAACAUAUAUUAUAUUGAUAUUAUUUCAAUGUAAAUUAGGUGGUUCGUGAUAUGUAUUAUUACGCCAUUUUUAAUAUGAUGCACACUAUUUGACACGUGACCCUUCCAAGCAUGGAUCAAAGACAUAUUCCGAAACUCCGCCCACUUUCCAAACCAUCCCCUUCUAUUAACUGUGGU